GAUGAACGCUGGCGGCGUGCCUAAUACAUGCAAGUCGAACGCACAGCGAAAGGUGCUUGCACCUUUCAAGUGAGUGGCGAACGGGUGAGUAACACGUGGACAACCUGCCUCAAGGCUGGGGAUAACAUUUGGAAACAGAUGCUAAUACCGAAUGAAACUUAGUGCCGCAUGAUACGAAGUUAAAAGGCGCUUUGGCGUCACCUAGAGAUGGAUCCGCGGUGCAUUAGUUAGUUGGUGGGGUAAAGGCCUACCAAGACAAUGAUGCAUAGCCGAGUUGAGAGACUGAUCGGCCACAUUGGGACUGAGACACGGCCCAAACUCCUACGGGAGGCUGCAGUAGGGAAUCUUCCACAAUGGGCGAAAGCCUGAUGGAGCAACGCCGCGUGUGUGAUGAAGGCUUUCGGGUCGUAAAGCACUGUUGUAUGGGAAGAACAGCUAGAAUAGGGAAUGAUUUUAGUUUGACGGUACCAUACCAGAAAGGGACGGCUAAAUACGUGCCAGCCGCCGCAGUAA
rnacentral:rRNA from 1 species